ACCUUCCCAUUGCAUAACCAACCCCCUUACCCUAGAUCUCUGACUCUCUUUUACUAGUUUUUGAUUCGAUAAAACUUUAGGUUUUUGUUCGCUUUCUAACCAUUCCUUUGGAUAAAUAGAAGUGCGGUGGCGACUCGACUUGUAUGAUUUACCUUGGAUUUAGUCAAUAUCUCCAAUGGUAACGAAUACCCCGCUAUACAAAGUCAUUUACUUUUAUGAACUUUAAAUUCAAGCCAUUUAUCAUUUGUCAUUAUAAAUAUCAUUUAAC
rnacentral:lncRNA from 1 species